ensembl:lncRNA
GGUUGGGGCCGGCAAAAGUCAUCUCUGGCUGGGCUACAUGUGGGGCACGGUGUGCUAUUUCUGAAUGUCCUGUGUCAUCCAGCAGGAGGUGGGAUCACAAAUAGAAAGGAGGAUCUGCAGAGCAGUGGUGUGGCCGAAAGGCAUUGGGGUAGUGGCUCUGUGGAAGAAAUCCAAAGGGAUGUCCAAGGGGGCCUGGAGCAAGGAGAGCACUUGAAGAAGCCACUGGGAAACCAUCCAGGAAAGAGAGUGAGGAACCCCCUGGGCUGCAGCACAGGUCAGGAGCAGCUGGAAGACCUAAGGAGCAAGGAAGGGUGCCAGAAGAAAAGGCAGAAUCGGUGUGAUGAGUUUGGGAAAAGCUUUAAGAGGUAUUCCAGCCAUGUUAACCAUCAAAGUAUUCAGCCUGGGGAGAGACUAUGCAAGUGUUGUGAUUGUGCAAAGAGCUUCCGAAGGAGUUCUGACCUCAUUGUCCAUCAGCGCAUGCACAGAGCAGAGAACUGCUUUAAGUGCCCUGAGUGUGGGUAGGGCUUCAGUCGCAAUUUCAACCUCAUCUGCCACCAGCGCAUCCACACAGGAGAGAGACCCUACAAGUGCCGUGAGUGUGGNAAGGGCUUCAGAAGCAGAACUGAACUCAUCUGCCACCUGCAAAUCCACAAAGGAGAGGGACCCUACAAGUGCGCUGAGUGUGGGAAGGGCUUCAGUUCCAGUUUCAACCUCAACCGCCACUGGCGCAUCCACACAGGAGAGAGAUUCUACAAGUGCGCUGUGUGUGGGAAGGGCUUUAGUAGCAGUUCUUCCCUCUACUCCCACAAGCACAUCCACACAGGAGACACAAUGUAGCAGUGCCCUGAGUAUGUGAGAAGCUUCACAAGCACUUCCAGCCUCCUUAUCUACCUGCACAUCCACCCAGGACACAGAGCCUGCAAGUGCUCCCAACAGCAUGCACCUUUCCCUGACAGUGAAUGCAUGGUUUCAUCAAGUGGAGUCAUGGUGUAGAGAGCAGGCAGCUCUUGGUGUAAAGAAGACGUGUCCCAGUGGGCGUUCACUUGAAGAUAGCACUGUGAGCCCAGCAGGGAAUAGUGCAUGUGAGUGAGAGCAGAGAAAUAUCAACUCUGGCCAUGUUCAGGCACCUGACCUUGGUUGUAGGGCAGACCCAGUCCCUCCCAUUCCCUUGCUUAUUCUGGAUGUAUCCGAUGAAAUUCUGUUUCCGUCUCCUCUCUUUUGCUUCCUCUCUUUCUCCGCUACCUGUAGAAUGGCUGCUUGGUGGCUUUUAGGAGUUAAUGGUUAAUUACCAUGAGCACAGCGUUAAGAGGACGGACGUGCUGUUUCUCUCGAGGAACAAAGUGUGUGUACCCUGACAACCAGCUGCUGCCCCUGGUAACAAAAAGGAUGCUAUGGAGAGGAUAAAAACACAAAGAGUUCUAAGGAAGAACGGGUACCUUCUCCUCUGAACUGCAGUCGUGCAGAAGAACGAGACGUCACUGAGCAACUUGCUGCCUCCUACGGACCAACGAGACAUUGCUGGAUCCCUGGUGCUGACUAUCCCCGGUCUGUAAAGCCUGUGCUAGAAUUUCUCUCUUUACCUUCGCCAGCUUCCCCGUCUCCCCCAUAUCCCUGAGUUGCUCAGAACUUGUAAUAAAUCAGUUGGACAACAUUGGCUUUGUUCGCUG